rnacentral:lncRNA from 1 species
UUCCUUUAUGGGGAGCCAGUGUACCACUAUAUCAGUAUUCAACCCGGGCAUGUCUUGAUACGACCAUGCGAAGACAUCCUUGAAUUCUUGUAGUAACUCAAUGAGGUCUCGCCUUGUUUCUGGGGCGAUACAGGCUCAAUCUUUACCUCUUUUCCUUCUCCUAAGUUCACGAUUUCCACUGACUCCUUGUGAGGUAGGACUUGUUUCUCAACUUCUUCUACCAU